UGGCGGACGGGUGAGUAACGCGUGGGCAACCUGGCCUGUACAGGGGGAUAACACUUAGAAAUAGGUGCUAAUACCGCAUAACGGGGGAAGCCGCAUGGCUUUUCCCUGAAAACUCCGGUGGUACAGGAUGGGCCCGCGUCUGAUUAGCCAGUUGGCAGGGUAACGGCCUACCAAAGCGACGAUCAGUAGCCGGCCUGAGAGGGCGGACGGCCACACUGGGACUGAGACACGGCCAGACUCCUACGGAAGGCAGCAG
rnacentral:rRNA from 1 species